GUAGGGAAUCUUGCGCAAUGGGCGAAAGCCUGACGCAGCCAUGCCGCGUGAAUGAUGAAGGUCUUAGGAUUGUAAAAUUCUUUCACCGGGGACGAUAAUGACGGUACCCGGAGAAGAAGCUCCGGCUAACUUCGUGCCAGCAGCCGCGGUAAUACGAAGGGGGCUAGCGUUGCUCGGAAUUACUGGGCGUAAAGGGCGCGUAGGCGGAUAUUUAAGUCGGGGGUGAAAGCCCGGGGCUCAACCUCGGAAUAGCCUUCGAUACUGGAUAUCUUGAGUACGGGAGAGGUGUGUGGAACUCCGAGUGUAGAGGUGAAAUUCGUAGAUAUUCGGAAGAACACCAGAGGCGAAGGCGACACACUGGCCCGUUACUGACGCUGAGGCGCGAAAGCGUGGGGAGCAAACAGGAUUAGAUACCCGUGUAGUCC
rnacentral:rRNA from 1 species